AAGUCGUAACAAGGUUUCCGUAGGUGAACCUGCGGAAGGAUCAUUAACGAGUCCUCUGGGUGCCCCCGGGCAUCCGGAACCUCUCCACCCAUGUUUAUUGUUACCUAGUUGCUUUGGCGGGACGAGUCCCCGGACUCCGCCGGCUUCGGCCGACGAGCGCCCGCCAGAGGUCCACCCAAACUCUGUUAAAACCUUGCAGUCUGAAAAACUAUUUAAUAGCCUAAAACUUUCAACAACGGAUCUCUUGGUUCUG
rnacentral:misc_RNA from 1 species